rnacentral:rRNA from 1 species
UGGGGAAUCUUCCGCAAUGGACGAAAGUCUGACGGAGCAACGCCGCGUGAGUGAUGACGGCCUUCGGGUUGUAAAGCUCUGUUAAUCGGGACGAAUGGUUCUUGUGCGAAUAGUGCAAGGAUUUGACGGUACCGGAAUAGAAAGCCACGGCUAACUACGUGCCAGCAGCCGCGGUAAUACGUAGGUGGCAAGCGUUCUCCGGAAUUAUUGGGCGUAAAGCGCGCGCAGGCGGAUUGGUCAGUCUGUCUUAAAAGUUCGGGGCUUAACCCCGUGAUGGGAUGGAAACUGCCAAUCUAGAGUAUCGGAGAGGAAAGUGGAAUUCCUAGUGUAGCGGUGAAAUGCGUAGAUAUUAGGAAGAACACCAGUGGCGAAGGCGACUUUCUGGACGAAAACUGACGCUGAGGCGCGAAAGCCAGGGGAGCGAACGGG